AUGGUCAUGUCACUGAGAAAUGCCUGUGCUUCACUAGUGGUUACAUGCUCUGAAUGCAGAAAGUUAUUAAGGGGCAUGGCAUGGGUAAAAAAGAUUUAGGAACAUGGAGUGUAGGAGAUUCUUCUAGAUAAUAAUUUUAUUCUAUAUGUCACAGGUUCAUUCUUGUGACAUACAGUUCGAUUAUCUACGGUUUCCCCGUUUCUCAAAGGAACCGUAUCAAGCAGGGAAGUCCAGAUGAUUCUGAGAAGAUCACAGCUCCUGACUCCCAUGUGUAGAAGGCUAAGAUCAAGAAUAAAGAAAAGGCCUGCUCAGUGGACAAUCUCAUGAUAUCACGGAACUAUUCUUCCAACCCUACAAAGUGAAAUCUUAUAAUGCCUCCUGUACCUGAACCCACAGUUUCUUACCUUCUAUUUAGUUGUGGUCACUGUCACCACCAUUUCAUUAUAACCAGGUUUAACCCAAAGGUAUUCUCUGCCCCAAGAAUCCAUUUAUACUAUAUUGACGUAUUCAGCCAUGCCAGUUAAAUUUAAGCAUCGACCACACCAAAGUGAGGAUUUGGAAAAUAUCCAACAAAAACAUGGGAAGAAAUGUACAAAAAUAAAUUUAUGCUGAAUAAAUAAACGAAAAUAAACGAAAAAA